rnacentral:rRNA from 1 species
UACAAGUACCCGUGAGGGAAAGUUGCAAAGCACUUUGAAGAGAGAGUUAAAGAGGACGUGAAACCGGUAAGAUGGAAACGGAUAGAGCCAGCGAAGUCGCUCGUAUUCAGCCAAAGACUCAGGGCCGCUUGCUGUCGUGUUUCUAAUCGAGCACGGCGGUACGUGCGUUCUGUUUUGAGGUGCAUUUGCGGGCGUUUGCGCCGAGACUUGCGGAGUAGCUCCUGGAACUGCGUCUAGAGGCUUCCCUCUGGGUUGUACCUGGUCGUGGCUACAGUUGUUUACUCUGCUCGUACCCGAGUCAGGCCUACGGCGUCUGGUUGAGUCGUUGUUUUCAGGCGGUGGUAUCGCAUGCGAUGCCUAGCUUGGGGGCUGCGGCUUAGCCUGAUGUCCCUGUCUCGCUCUCGGUGUAGAAGCUGGUCAUCUCUCCGACCCGUCUUGAAACACGGACCAAGGAGUUUAGCGUAUGCGCGAGCCAUUGGGUGCAAAACCCACAGGCAUAAUGAAAGUAAAGGCCCAGUCGCUGGGCUGACAUGUGAGCGCUAGGGCUUCGGCUCUGGCGUGCAGCAUGGUCCCGUUGCAGUCGCUUGCGGCGCAGCGGAGACAGAGCGUAUGCGCUGAGACCCGAAAGAUGGUGAACUAUUCCUGAGCAGGACGAAGCCAGAGGAAACUCUGGUGGAAGUCCGAAGCGAUUCUGACGUGCAAAUCGAUCGUCUGACUUGGGUAUAGGGGCGAAAGACUAAUCGAACCAUCUAGUAGCUGGUUUCCUUCCGAAA